rnacentral:rRNA from 1 species
UACAGAGGGUGCGAGCGUUGUUCGGAAUUAUUGGGCGUAAAGGGCGCGUAGGCGGCGCCACAAGUCACUUGUGAAAACUCUGGGCUCAACUCAGAGCCUGCAAGCGAAACUGUGGUGCUGGAGUAUGGGAGAGGUGCGUGGAAUUCCCGGUGUAGCGGUGAAAUGCGUAGAUAUUGGGAAGAACACCGGUGGCGAAGGCGGCGCUCUGGACCGAGACUGACGCUGAGGCGCGAAAGCGUGGGGAGCAAACAGG